rnacentral:lncRNA from 1 species
AUGUCCUACAAACCUACCACCCCUGCCCCCAGCAGCACCCCCGGCUUCAGCACCCCUGGGCCAGGCACUCCGGUCCCUACAGGAAGCGUCCCGUCGCCGUCGGGCUCAGGGCCGGGAGCCACUGCCCCUUGCAGACCGCUGUUUAAAGACUUUGGACCACCUACGGUCGGUUGUGUGCAGGCCAUGAAACCACCUGGUGCCCAGGGCUCCCAGAGCACCUACACGGAACUGCUGUUGGUCACAGGGGAGAUGGGCAAAGGGAUCCGGCCCACCUAUGCUGGCAGCAAGAGCGCCGCGGAGCGCCUGAAGAGAGGUAUCAUCCAUCCCUAGUCAGAGUGCCUGGUAGAGACAGAGCGGAACGGCCACA